rnacentral:lncRNA from 1 species
UUCUACCCUUGCCUUCUUCGCUGACCCAGAAGUUGUGGUGUCUUUCCUCUUGUGGGCCUUGAGACUCUUAGCUAACGUCCGAGCCGUGUUUGCGUCCAUAUCUGCAAUGAAAGAAGAUCGACACAGCUUAGAAAUAGAGUCACAAAAAAAGAGGGAAGUGAAAGUCGAAGCCCGAUGUGAAAAGCUUCCUGAUAUAAGCAGAAGCAGCCAGGAGGAGGGACGCUAGCCCGGUCAGUCAACCCAAGAAGCUCCAGCUCGUACUCCAGAGAAACUCCGUACUGAAUCAUAAUCAGUGAGAGUUCCUCCGGAGUCAGAGAGCUGGAGAUGGUGUCUGGUACAAAG